rnacentral:rRNA from 1 species
UACGUAGGGUGCGAGCGUUGUCCGGAUUUAUUGGGCGUAAAGGGCUCGUAGGCGGUCUAUUGCGUCGGGAGUGAAAACCUGCGGCUUAACUGUGGGCUUGCUUUCGAUACGGGUGGACUUGAGGAGGGUAGGGGAGAACGGAAUUCCUGGUGGAGCGGUGGAAUGCGCAGAUAUCAGGAGGAACACCGGUGGCGAAGGCGGUUCUCUGGACCUUUCCUGACGCUGAGGAGCGAAAGCGUGGGGAGCAAACAGGCUUAGAUACC